GUGGCUAUGGUGUAGAGGUAGCACAGAGGCCUGUGGCGCCUUUAGCACGGGUUCGAUUCCCGUUAGCCACCCCA
rnacentral:tRNA from 1 species